rnacentral:rRNA from 1 species
AGCUUGCUCCCGGAUGUUAGCGGCGGACGGGUGAGUAACACGUGGGUAACCUGCCUGUAAGACUGGGAUAACUCCGGGAAACCGGAGCUAAUACCGGAUAGUUCCUUGAACCGCAUGGUUCAAGGAUGAAAGACGGUUUCGGCUGUCACUUACAGAUGGACCCGCGGCGCAUUAGCUAGUUGGUGAGGUAACGGCUCACCAAGGCGACGAUGCGUACCCGACCUGAGAGGGUGAUCGGCCACACUGGGACUGAGACACGGCCCAGACUCCUACGGGAGGCAGCAGUAGGGAAUCUUCCGCAAUGGACGAAAGUCUGACGGAGCAACGCCGCGUGAGUGAUGAAGGUUUUCGGAUCGUAAAGCUCUGUUGUUAGGGAAGAACAAGUGCAAGAGUAACUGCUUGCACCUUGACGGUACCUAACCAGAAAGCCACGGCUAACUACGUGCCAGCAGCCGCGGUAAUACGUAGGUGGCAAGCGUUGUCCGGAAUUAUUGGGCGUAAAGGGCUCGCAGGCGGUUUCUUAAGUCUGAUGUGAAAGCCCCCGGCUCAACCGGGGAGGGUCAUUGGAAACUGGGAAACUUGAGUGCAGAAGAGGAGAGUGGAAUUCCACGUGUAGCGGUGAAAUGCGUAGAGAUGUGGAGGAACACCAGUGGCGAACGCGACUCUCUGGUCUGUAACUGACGCUGA